rnacentral:rRNA from 1 species
UACGGAGGGUGCAAGCGUUAAUCGGAAUCACUGGGCGUAAAGCGCACGUAGGCGGCUUUGCAAGUCAGGCGUGAAAUGCCUCGGCUCAACCGAGGAAUUGCGUUUGAAACUGCAAGGCUAGAGUACUGGAGAGGGUGGCGGAAUUCCCGGUGUAGGAGUGAAAUCCGUAGAUAUCGGGAGGAACACCAGUGGCGAAGGCGGCCACCUGGACAGAUACUGACGCUGAGGUGCGAAAGCGUGGGGAGCAAACAGGAUUAGAUACCCCCGUAGUCC